rnacentral:rRNA from 1 species
UACGGAGGGUGCAAGCGUUAUCCGGAUUCACUGGGUUUAAAGGGUGCGUAGGUGGGCCUGUAAGUCAGUGGUGAAAUCUCCGAGCUUAACUCGGAAACUGCCAUUGAUACUAUAGGUCUUGAAUUAUCUGGAGGUGAGCGGAAUAUGUCAUGUAGCGGUGAAAUGCUUAGAUAUGACAUAGAACACCAAUUGCGAAGGCAGCUCGCUACGGAUAUAUUGACACUGAGGCACGAAAGCGUGGGGAUCAAACAGG